AUCUGGUAGGUUGGACGUGAAGUCAUUGAUUUGAACGAAAGUGACCCCAAAGUGAAAAUGAUCGUGAGAGCUGUGCUGGCUGUGACUGUCAUUUCCUGCCUCCCUGUCCUGAGGGGAUCCACCGUGAUCCCGGCAGAUGCUGGCAGAGAUGUGCUCCUGCCCUGCAGUGUACAACACCAAGGCGGCUUCAAUCUUUCGGAUGUCACUAUCAACUGGGAGCGUCCUGACACCAUCGUGUGCAGCUUCUACCAUGGCAGCAGGCAGCUAGAGCAUCAGGACAAGAGGUUUAGGGGCAGGACCCAGCUCUUCCCAAAUGAAUUUUCAAAGGGCAACGCCUCCCUCCUACUGCAGAGAGUCAACCUAGCUGACACCGGGAAUUACUCAUGCAAUGCUGUUCUCUGGGCCAACACCCAGCUCACUGUUCACACAAUGUUCCUCCAGGUGACAGGGAACGGGCUUGCUGUCACACCGCUGGGAGCUGUGCACUGUCUCCCUGCCAUCCUGCUGCUGCUGCUGUGGUACAUGUAAUGAGUCUCCCUGCAUAGCCCAGAUGCAAACACUGAGUCGAGGAGCCCUGAGCACUGAGAAACCCAAAGUACCUACGGUUUCAGCUUCUAAUGAAUCUUCACUGCACAUGAUCUACCAGUUGCUGUGACUGCCCUGGAUUAAUGCUUGAAUGAUGCAAUGUUUGCUUAGAGGAGCUGCUGCAGGAAUCCCUCUUACGAUUUCACAAUUUGAGCGUGUAUGUAUGUGAAUAUGUGUAUAUAUAUGUAUGUGUGUAUAUAUGUGUAUAUGUGUGUGUGUUCAAAUUUAAGAAUUGGCAUAUAUAUUCAUCUUAUAAAAAGUCUAUGUAUAAAGAUAAAUAUAUAUCCCAAUUACUACAUUAGAACACAUGUGUGUAUAAGUUCAAAUUAAGAAUCUUGUUGAGAUCUUAGUGCUCUCAAAGUUCCUUUCAGCCCUUAUGGAUCUAUAUUAGAUUUGUUUUUAUUUAUAUAGUAGAAUAGGUAUAUCUACAUUUUAGAUAUUGCAUAGAUAGAUAGAUAGAUAUCUAUAUAUCUAUCUAUAGAUAUAGAUAUAUGUAUAUCAGGCUUGUUUUGUAAAGAGAAUAGAUAGAUAUUAAUAUAUUUAAAUGCAAUUGGAUUUUAAAGAAAAUUAUAUGCACUCUAACUUAUCAAUUGAGUAUUUAAAUUGAUCACACCUAUUUAGCUAUAAAAUAGAUAACACUUUCAUAGAUUUCACAGACAUUAGGGCUGGAAGGGACCUCGGAAGAUCAUUGAGUCCAGCCCCCUGCCCAAAGAGUAGGAAGUCGGCUGGGGUCAUAGGAUCCCAGCAAGAUAAGCAUCCAGUUUGCUCUUGAAGGUGUUCAAUGUAGGCGCUUGAACCACCUCCAGUGGCAGGCUGUUCCAGACCUUUGGGCUCGGACAGUAAAGAAAUUCUUCCUUAUGUCCAGCCUGAAACGAUCUUGUAGUAGUUUAUGACCGUUCGACCUAGUCGUCAUCACUUGGGGUGCUGUGGUGAACAAACGUUUCCCCAGAUACUGGUGGUCACCCCGAUAAUCUUAUAGGUGGCUAUCAGAUCACCCCUAAGCCUGCGCUUUUCCAGGCUAAAGAGCCCCAUGGCUCUCAGCCUGUCAUCGUAGGGUUUGCUUCCCUGACCUCUGAUCAUGCGCGUGGCUCUUCUCUGGACUCUCUCAAGCCUCCACAUCCUUUUUGAAUUGUGGAGCCCAAAACUGGACGCAGUACUCCAGCUCUGGCCUCACCAAGGCCGAGUUCAAGGGGAGAAUGACGUCCUGGGAUUUGCUUGAGAAGCAUCUAUGGAUGCAAGCCAGCGUUUUGGUCACUUUACUAGCUGUAGCAUCGCAUUGCAGGCUCAUGUUCAUCUUGUGGUCAAUGAUGACCCCCAAAUCUCUUUCUUCUGUAGUGCUAGCCAGCGUAGCACUGCUGAGCCUAUAAGGAUGCUGCAGGUUUUUCUUCCCAAGGUGGAGAACCUUGCAUUUAUCGGCAUUGAACACCAUCAGAUUCUCAUCCGCCCACUUGCUGAGCCUGUCCAGGUCAGCCUGGAUCAUCCGCCUGUCUUCUGGUGUGGAUGCUUUGCCCCGAAGUUUGGUGUCAUCAGCGAACUUGGCCAGUCCGCUUCUGACUCCAGAGUCCACAUCACUAAUGAAGAUGUUGAACAGUAUGGGUCCAAGGACAGAGCCUUGGGGGACCCCACUGGUCACAGAACACCACGAUGAGUGACUUCCAUCAAUUACUACCCUCUGGGUCCAACCACGGAGCCAAUUUUCCAGCCAGUGGAUCGUGGUGGACCCAAGGCGACCAUUGGCCAGUUUCACCAAGAGGUGAUCAUGGGAUACCAGAUUGAAGGCUUUUUUGAAGUCAAGAUAUAUGACAUCAAUCUCUUCUCCCUUGUCCAGGUGAUAGGUCACCUGGUCGUAGAAGGAAAUGAGAUUGUCGCGGAUAGGUCUUGCUUGACCAAACCCAUGCUGGCUAUCCCUUAAGAUGUUGGCGUCGGCCAGUCCAUUAAGGAUGGCCUCUUUAAUAAACUUUUCUAAGAUCUUCCCUGGGAUAGAAGUCAGGCUGAUGGGCCUAUAGUUAGCCGGAUCCACUUUCCUCCCUUUCUUGAAGAUAGGCACCACAUUGGCCUUCUUCCAGUCUUCGGGCACUACACCAGAGCACCAGGAGUUUUCAAAGAUCCGUGCUAGAGGCUGGGCUAUGAUGCUCGCCAGCUCCUUGAGUACCCUGGGGUGAAGAUUGUCAGGGCCGGCUGACUUGAAGGUAUCUAGCUUCUCAAGAUGUUCCUUCAUGAAGUCAGCAUCAAUGGAGGGCAGGGGAUCUCCCUCACCCGGACCUCCCUGUCCCGUAGCGGGCAUGGGCAUCCCAUGGGACUGAUGAAAGACCGACUCAAAGCACCCAUUUAGUAGGUUGGCUUUUUCCUGGGCGUCAGUUGUCAGUUGCCCCAUCUGGUUCAGCAGGGGUCCAAUGUUGCCCCUGCUUUUCCUCUGGCUCCCCACAUAUCUGAAAAAGGACUUUUUAUUGUCCUUGUAGCUCGAAGCUAUUUGGAGUUCAGUUGCAGCCUUGGCUUUCCUGGUAUUCUCCCUUCAGGACCGGACCAGUGCAGAAUAAUCCUCCUUGGAGGUGACUCCCAUCCUCCAUCCUUUGUAGGCCUUUCUUUUUAGCCUCAGGAGGUCUGCUAGGUCCCUGGAGAGCCAGGGGGGCUGCUGUGCCCUCUUGCUGCCUUUAAUCCGAGAUGAAAUAGAAUUAGCUUGUGCAUCAAGGAUCGCUCCCUUGAGGAGCAACCACUCUUCCUGGACUCCCCUCUCCCUGGGGUCAUGGUCCCUUAGGGCCUCACUGUCAAGCCUCCUGAGCUUGUCAAAGUCGGCUUUCCUGGAAUCAAGGACUUCCGUGUUGCUGACUGACUUGCCAGCUUUUCGGCGGAUGAUGAAGGUGAUCAGCUUGUGGUCGCUGUCACCCAGCUUCCCAGCGAUCACUAGGUCGCCAACUAGGUCAUCCCCAGUAGCCAGGACCAGGUCAAGUAGCGCUUUGCCUCUCGUUGGCCCAUAGACUUCUUGAGUCAGGUAGAGGUCAUCCACGCACGAGAGGAAGCUUUGCGACCGCUCGGAUUUUGCUGAGCGAUCCUCCCACGAGAUGUCUGGGUAAUUGAAGUCACCCAUGACAACCGUGGUCCUGGAACAUGCGACCUCAGCCAGUUCCCGGGCAAACUCCUGGUCAAGCUCAGGACUUCGGGUGGGAGGUCUGUAAUAGACUCCCACCAUCAUGUCCCCUGUGCCGUGUUCCCCAUAGAUUUUAACGCAGAGGGUCUCCAGCUGUCCACCCUGGUCGACAGUAUUGGCUUGCAGGGACGUGUAGCUUUCCUUAACAUAGAGAGCUACACCCCCGCCCCUCUUAUCUACACGAUCCCUCCUGUACAGGGUAUAGCCAUCUAUACCCGUGGUCUAGUCAUGGGUGGAGUCUCACCAGGUCUCCAUUAUCCCUAUGACAUCAUAAUUAUUUGCGUUGAGCAGGAGGAUGAGUUCCUCCUGCUUAUUCCCCAAGCUCCUGGCAUUUGUGUACAGGCAGGCAAGAGUCCCCUGGGGGGCUCCUUCCUUGCGCACAGAUUUUACCAGGGCUGGGGCAGGGGUGGGCUCCCUUAAGUGCCUUAACCUGCUGGCUUUGCAAGGAUUGCUCAGCGGGCCAGCAGUGGUGGUAGUCCCCCCGUCCCCCAGCAGGCUUAGUUUAAUGAUUUCCAAAUGCUUCUGGCUUUGCUGACCAGGCUCUGGCUGUCUUGAGGGCAUCGGUUGAAGCACUCACACAGGAGCUUAGGUAUUGCAGUGGUAACAGCCAUGCCAGAACCACAAGAGAGAUCUGGAGCAGGCGGGGGAAGGCUGCAGGUGGAGCUUUUUCAUUGGACAGUAGAAGAGACUCAUGCUGGAGACAUGGCCCAUAUCCAGCCCUACCUCUACAUCAGGCCAUAGGAUCUAAUGUGAGGGGGAUGACUCAAGCCCAUGUUUCCUCAUCCCUGUGGUCUUCCUCCAUUGUCAGGGUGAGGGGCUAUGAGGAGGGAUGUGAGAGGGGGGUGGGCUUCUUGGGUGCCAGCUGCUCUGUGGUCACUGGCCCUGUGCAGGCUCUUACCCCAUGGGGCAGCAUGCUCCUAAUUAAAGCACUAGGCUCAGGGCUGCGGGGUGCCUUAAAGCACAGGCAGGUGUUGGUGCUGUGCAGUUGGCAGCCCCAGGACUGACCUUCACAGUUUGACUUUCAAGGUUUUCAGACCUAGGGGAGAGGGCCAUUUUCAUGGCUGCAAGCUCCUGUCUGGCCAAGGGGUUUCACAGCUGCCCUCUGACUGCUGCAGCCCCUUCCCCAUUUCACAAAGUGCGGCUGUGGUUCAGGUUAGGUGACGGAGAUGGGAGGCACUUCAUGUGCUUACCCCAUGCACAGAGAACCUGUUUGUACAAGUAUGAGGGAGAGGUGUGUAACAGCUCUGGCUGUGUGGCACUUGUUCAUAGAUCCGAGUUCCAGACCUGCAGGCACUGCCAGUGCCCAGAGCAGCUCGGGCAGACCAGCAGGCUUUAUCUCAGGGAUUGUUUCAUCUCAGAGCUACCUCAUGUCUAACGGACACCUUCCAAAAACCACUGGGGGACUAGGCUUGGAGGGUCCCAGGGCCAAUAAAAUACUUGAACAGUCCCACUGAGUCUUCCCUACAUCAGUCUGGCCUUGGGAAGCAGGCUUGGUUCCACACAGACAUGUCAGCACUGUGCUGUGAGCUCAGCAAGAAAAAUGGAGGAAGGAAGUUGUUGGGGAACGCUGCAUUGUAUCCUUGUGCCAAUCUUUUCCUGUUCAGAUUUCUAGAUUUCUUUAUAUUUCCUAAUAAAGUAUAUUUCCUUUA